rnacentral:rRNA from 1 species
CCAAUAGCGUAUAUUAAAGUUGUUGCAGUUAAACAGCUCGUAGUUGAAUUUCGGGAUCAAUACGUCGGUCGUGCUUUCGGGUACGUACUGGCGUCAUUGGUUUCUCCUUUCUGACGAACCAUGAUGUCAUUAAUUUGGUGUUAUGGGGAGUUAGGACUGUUACUUUGAAAAAAUUAGAGUGUUUAAAGCAGGCAUUAGCUUGAAUACAUUAGCAUGGAAUAAUGAAAUAGGACGUUCGAUCCUAUUUUGUUGGUUUCUAGGAUCAACGUAAUGAUUAAUAGGGAUAGUUGGGGGCAUUAGUAUUCAAUUGUCAGAGGUGAAAUUCUUGGAUUUAUUGAAGACUAACUACUGCGAAAGCAUUUGCCAAGGAUGUUUUCAUUAAUCAAGAACGAAAGUUAGGGGAUCGAAGACGAUCAGAUACCGUCGUAGUCUUAACCAUAAACUAUGCCGACUAGGGAUCGGAUGAUGUUAAUUUUUUAAUGACUCAUUCGGCGCCUUACG